AACUAACCCUAAAAAUAUUAAUAAAAGUUUAAAAAAAUUUUAACCACAUGUAGGCAAAAUGGAAAUGAGUUACCUUGGACGGGAGAUGUCAUUUAACAUUUGUAGAACCAUAUUUAUGCAAUGAUUUCUUUUCAAAACUUUUCAUUAGCUAUGUGAUUGAUGUGGGUUAUGUUUUUGAAUUAGGUGGAUCUCAAAUAAAAUUUAUAAUUAAGUUCAAACUCCCUAUCAAUAAAUUCUUUAUACCAACCUUACAAAAUAUAUAUAAAAUAGGCUUCUCCAAGUCUGGUGGAGAUUUAGGUUGAAACAUGGUAGGUUUGUCUUUUCAAGCUUAAACUUCUAGAAGUGUAAUAUAUAUGUGUAUGUGUCAUUUGUUUGGUCAGUGCAUAAAACAUAAGAUAUUCGAAAAAUUGUGUUAGAUUAAUUUGUGUGGAACAUUCCUGCUUAGUAGAAAUGCAGCUACAUAAAGAGUUCAAAAGUGGCUGUAUUUGUUUAAUAUAACUGUCCAUGAGCAAGAAAACAAUGAUACUAGUGUCUUAAAUUUUUGAUGUAUAAUUUAUUUGUAUCCACACCUGACAUUUUGUAUUCUUAUUGGUUAUUAUUAUUUUUUAUUAAAUUGUCACCAAUGUUUUUAGGUAAGAGACUGAAAUGGUCAUCCAUGGCAGUGUACACAAGCUCUGGUCAACGCUGGCUUUGUAGUAUAUGCCUGAGAACUUUCUCUUCACCAAACUCUCUAAGGAUGCAUCAUAUGUACAUGCAUAUCUGGCAGAAGACUCAGAAAUGUAGCAAAUGUGGUAAAGGAUUUAAACGAUCACAAGAACGUAACCAACAUGAACAAUCCUGUAAACAGUGGCUUUAGACAAGUGAACCUUCCUUCUGCUAUGGAAUUUUUCACGUCACCUGUCAGAUCUGUUGUGAUGAAUAAUGUAGUGGAUAUGCUGCUUAGCCUUGGGGUCCAAUAUGACAUCUUCAACAUCAUGUCUUCUGACUUGUUUACAGGUUCUCUCAACUCAAACGUAACAUGUUUUGUUGCAGUAGAUGGAGACCUUCAUGUAAGAGUGACAUCAUCACACCUCUAGGAAGAAGUUAUCCGUGUCCACUAUGUGACAAAAUCUUUCGAUCACUGAACUCCCUUAAAAACCACCACUUCUUCAAACAUAAAAGUCAGAAAACCUACAUAUGUAAAUUUUGUGAAAGAGUAUUUACCAGGAAUUCCUCCUUGAAAAGACAUUAUAUUAUGAACUCCUGUGGUGGAAAACCAACAAGUAUUAUUUUAUAAGUGAAAUACAUUUUUUUGUUCUUUCACAACAUUAUGAAUGAUGUCUUUGUUCUUUUCUUUCUAUUUCGGUAUUAAAUGUCAGAAAACUUUCAUUACAUUACAAUAAUGUUAAUUUUAUUGUACACAUCAUGAUCCAAAACCUUCAGAAAAUAAUCUAUCAUUUGAUUUUAUUCAUUAAGAUGCCCUUCUAAUACACACAUACACAUACAGAUAAUUCUUAAGAAUGAAGACCCCCCUUAGUGUCUUAAGUGUAUUGGGACUUUACAUUAUUCACUGGUGAAUAAUGGAUUUAAUUAUAAUUAAUUUUUGUUUUCUCUUUCAGUACAAUUAAAAUCCUGUGAUUAGAUCAGUUUUUCCUCGAAGACUCACUUUUUGUUUUCUCGUAGCCAUCAGUAUUUGUUUGUCUCUCUUUGUGGGCGAUGAACUUUCCAACUGAUAUUUUUACCGUUAGAUUGAUAGGCAGACUUUCUUUGUUCAUGCAGCAAGUUACUGUAUCUGCAAGAGAACUUUUAAAAUAAUUAGAAAGUUAGUUACACACACACCCCUCCCUUCCAACAUACAUAUGGUACCUUCAGUUUUCUGAUAAGAGCAUAAUUGAGUAUAGAUACCUUCAAGUUUUUGUAUAAUAUCAUUUGUAUGAUCUUACCCAUGGCAAGCUAUUUUCAAACUUUUUUUUUCCAGUUUUGGAGAUGAUAAUGUGCAUAGCUAUGUAGGAAUCUUUCCAGUACCCACGAGAUAUUAGUUAUAACAAUAUGAGCUUUUUCUUUUCUACAGAUUUUUUUUAGUUUUUACUUUCUUCUGUGAUUAUAUAUUUUUUUACAUCCUUGAAUGUAGUAUUUUAAUCAGUCUAUCUUUUUCACUUGCACUGUGACUUUAGACCCAAGAGAAAGUCAUUAAAACAUGCUAUAGUCCGAGGUAGCUUGACAGUUUCCAAGUCAGCAUUGUAUAAUUGUUGAAUAAAUUCAAUAUUGAAUUAUAUUUAAAAAAGUUGUUGUCAGACAUUUAUUUUAGAAUUCUUUAUAUGCUUUUGCUCUUUUCAAUGCCCCCUUUCUGUCUAGGGUUUUUAUAGGACAAAGAACAACAACAUAAAUAUCAGACUGGGAAAAGUUCAAAAUAAUUAGGGUUUCUAAACAUCAUUAAAUUAAUUGAAAACAUACUGUACAAAAGCGUAUUAACAUUGUUUUUAGAAAAAUGCAUUCUUGUUAAGCUUUUGAAUGAUAGCUAUUUGGUUUUGUUACUAUAAUUUGUCUUUGUUGAAAGUUCAAGGAAAAUGAAAAGUUGCUCUCUGUCAUUUAAUAUUCUUAUGAUGUGACUUAUCAGGCAUUAUUUUAG